rnacentral:rRNA from 1 species
AGCAGUAGCCGCGGGAAUACGAAGGGUGCAAGCGUUACUCGGAAUUACUGGGCGUAAAGCGUGCGUAGGUGGUGGUUUAAGUCCGUUGUGAAAGCCCUGGGCUCAACCUGGGAAUUGCAGUGGAUACUGGGUCACUAGAGUGUGGUAGAGGAUAGUGGAAUUUCCGGUGUAGCAGUGAAAUGCGUAGAGAUCGGAAGGAACAUCUGUGGCGAAGGCGACUAUCUGGGCCAACACUGACGCUGAGGCACGAAAGCGUGGGGAGCAAACAGGAUUAGAUACCCGCGUAGUCCCUGUCUCUUAUAA